rnacentral:lncRNA from 1 species
CACAUCUCCUCCUCUUAUAUCACAUUAAACGUCUCAAGCAGACUGGGAAGCAUGGCUAUGAGGCAGUGACUGAGUUGCAAAUUCUCUAAAUUCUACUGCAACUGAGGGCUGUGUUUGAACCAAGGGUAGCCAUGAGGUUGCUCCCACUAGGGCCCAGCCAGAUCUUGCCAGUGGCUUUAUGGGAAGUCAUAUUUUUCAAGGCUUUGGGUUGGAUCGGAAAACAUUUUUAUUCAAUAUGGCAUCCUGUGUGUUCAUUUUUCUUUUUCAGAUGACUGAAGGUGACACCGAGCCAGCUGGGAAGGCUGUGGGGCACCAGGGCUCACAUUCUACAAUGGCAAUAUCUGGGCACAAAAAUACAGCAAAAGGGCAGAACUCUCCAACUAUAAAGCACACUAAACAUAACUUCAAAAAGAAGUGUAUACGGAAUUUGAUAUAUAUAACUCUACCUAUAUAUAUGUUACUAAGUUAUUUUUCUUAACAAUGCUCUUGACAGUAGUGAAAACAGCCCUUUCUCAGAGUACUCACAAAACAGGAAAUUGGUUAGAUUAAUUAUAGUGCCUUUAUAUAAUUUGAUUUCACAAGUAUUAAAAUAAUAUUGUAGAUUUAUAUUUAAUGGUAAAGAAGAAUAUUUGUGGCAUAUUAUUAAAGGGUAAAUGGCAUAUUGCAUAGUAAUUACAUAUAGCAGAAUUUUAAAAAUAUAUGCUUUAAUAUUAUACCAUAUAUUGUUAUGUUUAAUAUUUAAUAUUUAUAUAUUUAUAUUUUAAUAUUCAAUACUUGAUAUUAUACUAUGUAAUUAUAAUAAUAUAGACUUGAAGAACAUGACUAUAUUAUACCAUGUCUGUGGGGCUGGAGAGAUGGCUAGGUGGCUAAGAGCACUGGCUUCUCUUCUAGAGGACUGAGUUCAAUUCCCAGCACCCACAUGAUGACUUGUAACUGUCUGUAACCCCAGUUCCAAAGAUACCUUCAUCUAACCUCCGAGGGUACCAGGCACACAUGCUGUCCAUAGACAUCAUGCAGGCAAACUACCUAUACACAUAAAAUAAAUAGUAGUUUUUAAAUAAAAUUAAAGAGGACAUAGUUUCCCUAAGGUUUAAGAAUUUUUCUUACUUUUUAAUAUAUAUAUUUUAAAUUUUCUAUGUCUACUAUAUGAAUGGGGAAUUAUAGCUUCUAAGUUUAUCCAUUAACUCAGAACAAGUGAUAUUGCUAGAAUCUAGAGAAAGGAGGAGGAGAAUCUUUUCUCAUAAAGCAAUUUGCAAUUCAUAAUAAGAUUAUCAGUUUGACCCAUAGACCUGUCAAAGGGUUCUGAGGUCUAAGGAUGAUAGCUUCAAUUUGGGAACUGAGGGAAAGGGAUAGAUAGCUGGAAGAAGGCCUGGGGAGGGGACUCUUCAUUGUCAAGGAAUCUCCUCCCACUUGCAGGGCACCCUUCCUGCCUCAGGACACUCACAUGUGUCUAGGCCCUGGCCCAUGCAUGGUAGCACCCAUCACUCUUUUCUCUUGGAACCCACUGUGAAGUCCUCUUUCUGGUCCAUACCCUAUCUCCUCAGACUUCACCGAGUCCUCAGGGGCAAUGGAAUGAGAUCUUCCAGAACACUAGAGAGGAACUAUCUGUGGUCAGUACGGAGACUGGAAAGAAGUGACUACUUUCACUAUACCAACUGCCAUGACAGUGGGAUGGGAAGAUUUCUCUAUGAAGGACUCUCCAGGUCCAAACACAACACCCAAAGCCACGUAGCCAGGACCUGGAAGAGAUUCAGGAGCUUUCAUGGAACACUGGAAAAUCGAAACAGCAGCUAAAAGUGCAGCUACAGAAGCUUCCAGAUAAGAAUCUUCACUCCGGUUUAUCUUUAUGGUUUAUCCUGAAUGCCCAUUUAUAUCAACGGAAGCAGAGCUUCUCUGAGGACAAAGAUAUUUUACGCGCACAAGUAUUGAUAACCUGGAAUCAUGAAACUUUAACCUUGGAAGGCAUAUUGUAGCAAGACCGCGCCACUCUAUCAAAUUUCCUCCAAGCACUGUGUAUGCUUCUCAGGAACUUUCUGUGUGUCUGAUGACAUGUCGGCCUAACACGUUCAGCACAGAGGAGACGACCCAAAGAAAUAUCAUCCCUGAAGACUGUCUUCCCGAGGACGGGAGUGUCUGUUGGUAUAAAGAGUGCAGCAAUUUGUUAUC